rnacentral:tRNA from 1 species
GAGGGUAUAGCUCAGUGGUAGAGUGCAUGCUUAGCAUACAUGAGAUCCUGGGUUCAGUCCCCAGUAACUCCA